ACGAACGCUGGCGGCGUGCUUCACACCUGCCAGUCGAACGGAAAGGCCCUGCUUUUGUGGGGUGCUCGAGUGGCGAACGGGUGAGUAACACGUGAGUAACCUGCCCUUGACUUUGGGAUAACUUCAGGAAACUGGGGCUAAUACCGGAUAGGAGCUCCUGCUGCAUGGUGGGGGUUGGAAAGUUUCGGCGGUUGGGGAUGGACUCGCGGCUUAUCAGCUUGUUGGUGGGGUAGUGGCUUACCAAGGCUUUGACGGGUAGCCGGCCUGAGAGGGUGACCGGCCACAUUGGGACUGAGAUACGGCCCAGACUCCUACGGGAGGCAGCAGUGGGGAAUAUUGCACAAUGGGCGGAAGCCUGAUGCAGCAACGCCGCGUGCGGGAUGACGGCCUUCGGGUUGUAAACCGCUUUCGCCUGUGACGAAGCGUGAGUGAAGGUAAUGGGUAAAGAAGCACCGGCUAACUACGUG
rnacentral:rRNA from 1 species